rnacentral:snRNA from 1 species
AGGGGUAUUUUGGUCCACAAUUC